rfam:Cuculus canorus isolate BGI_N303 unplaced genomic scaffold scaffold202, whole genome shotgun sequence.
UUACAGGCUUUUUCACUGCAAAAGCCACACACAUAAAUUAGAAAGCUUCUU